GACAGAGGAGCCAAGCGUUGUCCGGAUUGACUGGGCGUAAAGCGCACGCAGGCGGAUGCGCGCGUGGGGGUGUGAAAUCUGGCCGCUUAACGGCCAGGCGCCAUCCCAUACGGCGCGUCUGGAGUGAUGCAGAGGUCGAUGGAAUUGCCGGUGUAGUGGUGAAAUGCGUAGAGAUCGGCAGGAACACCCAGGGGGAAACCAGUCGACUGGGCAUCUACUGACGCUGAGGUGCGAGAGCGUGGGGAGCGAACCGG
rnacentral:rRNA from 1 species